GGCUGGUCCGAUGGCAGUGGGUCACCAGAACUUACCUAAAGUUAGUAUCACUAACCCCCCACUGCUUGACUGGCUUAAA
rnacentral:Y_RNA from 1 species